GCAGAGCGGCCCAGAGUUCGCAGGUCUGGGGCUCUCUUCCCAGAGAGCUCGUAGGGGAGGACAGUCAAGGGACUCAAGCGUCUCUCUUGACUCCCCUUCUCUCGCUGUGCAGUGGCGGCGCCGAGGGGUCGACGCUCAGGGCUAAUCUCUAUGAGUCACCCUCGAGGCCCCGGGUAAUAUUGGGUGGAUCACAAGAACUAAUCUUUCAUGAUUUGGAAACCGGAAGGAAAGAAGCACUUUUGUAGCUGACUUACCUCAAUGACAUGACCAGUGUCUGAGCCUACAACUGCGCUAUCUUCCCUGGAUUUUUCUUCACCUUUUCCUUACUCAUGAGCCAGAUGGAGCUAAGAUUGGAACUGAGGUCUGGCUAUAAAGCUGCCUUUAUGUCCAUCGCAUCCUAAGGGCUGCUGUUGCUCUUCUGCCUCUACACUGAUGGACUACGUCAGAACAUCAAUAUGCUGUAUUGAUGAUAAUGGAUGAUAUUUUCUUAGUUGUGCCAAUAUUACUCUUGAGGGAAGAAAUGAUGCCAAGCCAGGCCAACUCCUACUCCUCAUCUGAUUCAGCCCAGUGAUGAGCUCUGUCAAGAAGACCUCCAAGAUCAGCCCCCUCUAUGCUCUCAUAGUCCCCUCUGCUGAUUCCUAUUAAGUCCUGUUCUUGCCAGUGAGACGCCUGCUCCAGCUUUGCCUUCCACCAUGAGUAAAGGCUCCCUAAGGCCUCCCAAGAAACAGAUGCCACCAUGCUUCCUGUACAGCCUGCAGAACCAUGAGCCAAUUAAACCUCUUCUCUUUAUAAAU
rnacentral:lncRNA from 1 species